rnacentral:rRNA from 1 species
AGCGAACGCUGGCGGCAGGCCUAACACAUGCAAGACGAACGAACUCUUCGGAGUUAGUGGCGGACGGGUGAGUAACACGUGGGAACGUGCCUUUAGGUUCGGAAUAACUCAGGGAAACUUGUGCUAAUACCGAAUGUGCCCUUCGGGGGAAAGACUUAUCGCCUUUAGAGCGGCCCGCGUCUGAUUAGCUAGUUGGUGAGGUAAGGGCUCACCAAGGCGACGAUCAGUAGCUGGUCUGAGAGGAUGAUCAGCCACAUUGGGACUGGGACACGGCCCAAACUCCUACGGGAGGCAGCAGUGGGGAAUCUUGCGCAAUGGGCGAAAGCCUGACGCAGCCAUGCCGCGUGAAUGAUGAAGGUCUUAGGAUUGUAAAAUUCUUUCACCGGGGACGAUAAUGACGGUACCCGGAGAAGAAGCCCCGGCUAACUUCGUGCCAGCCGCCGCAGUAA